CGAGUUUAGUUAGAGCCCCUGCCGCCGGUCGCGCUUGUUUUUUUUUUUUUAUUUUUUUUUCACUUUGAAAUCGAAUUUGACAUAUGACAGAUACUUAAAUUAAACAUGGCGUCCAUUGUAAUAAAUUUUUCAUGGAGAGAUAACCUAGACAAUAUAAUAAAUGCUUGUUAGAGUAAAAAACAAAUAAGCUGUCGAAGUGCAUUGUUUAACGAAGAAGAAAUACCAAGAAAAAUGCAUGUAUUAUGUAGUUCCAGCGAGAAACGACGAAGUAAAAGUAAAAUAAGUAAUAAUAUUUGCCGGCUUUCAAUCUAAUUUAAUAAUUCAGAAAUAAUUGAGACAUUUAACUAUAUCAAUACUAGAAAUUUUAAGGUUAUAAAUAGACAGAGAGAAUUCCUGUCAGCUCUCUGAAAGCAGUAUAAAAGGAAAAUACGUUCAAAUGUAAAAUGUUU